GAUGCCUUGGCACUAGGAGCCGAUGAAGGACGUGAUAAGCUGCGAUAAGCUUCGGGGAGUUGCACGUAAACUUUGAUCCGAAGAUUUCCGAAUGAGGAAACUUACUUAGAGUAAUGUCUAAGUAUCAUUAAGUGAAUACAUAGCUUAAUGAGGGGAACUCAGGGAACUGAAACAUCUAAGUACCUGAAGGAAGAGAAAGAAAUUC
rnacentral:rRNA from 1 species